UUUUUUAAGAUAAAUUUUAAGUACCCCUAACAGCACUUUUGCCCAUAUACAAGAUCAUAGAACAAUGCUGCGGCUGAGUCGUCAAUUUUUACAGAGACCUCAAUAACGCCACAGACUACUCAAAAGAAUUAAUCCAUUACUCUAACUACCAACGACUAACCAAAA